rnacentral:rRNA from 1 species
UACGUAGGGGGCAAGCGUUGUCCGGAUUUACUGGGCGUAAAGAGCGUGUAGGCGGCCAAACAGGUCCGUUGUGAAAACUGGAGGCUUAACCUCCAGACGUCGAUGGAAACCGUAUGGCUAGAGUCCGGAAGAGGAGAGUGGAAUUCCUGGUGUAGCGGUGAAAUGCGCAGAUAUCAGGAAGAACACCAAUGGCGAAGGCAGCUCUCUGGGACGGUACUGACGCUGAGACGCGAAAGCGUGGGGAGCGAACAGG